rnacentral:lncRNA from 1 species
GCUUGGUUACAGGGGUUAAAAUAUGACCCAGACACAGGUAGAAAGAUAACGACUCACCGUGGAAGUGAACAGCAUAGGCCCAGUCUACUGCGGUUUCUGUUUAUUUUGUCUUCAGAUGAGUGACACCCCCCCCCCAGGAGACUUGAUCGCCUUUGAGGGAUUUGGCUGGUGACAGCUGUCGCAGGUGCCACCCUGUGGGCUACCCGUGAAUGAUUACCGGGGACCAAGCUUGAUGAGUCACCAAGAGGCCCAGAGGGCCUGCUUACACCCAGAGCGCCCGGCAGGCGGAGAUCCUGGAGGAGAAAAAGCCCCACAGUCCAAAACGCUCUGACUUUUUAUUAAGAAUAUCAAUAUAAGAGAGAAAAGCAAGAGAAAGGCAGUUUGGGCCAGCGGCGGUCUCAAGGCUGGGCAGUUUUCUUGGGGAAGGGGAUGGCCAAUGGCCCAGACACAGAAUGUGUAUUGUCGUUUAACCAUUGGAGUCUCACUCGGCCUGUGUGCUUUUUGUUAGGGAAUUGAUCAUGUUAAAUGAUGCUGUGACGCCGCCUCACAGGCUGCAUUCUCCUGGUACAUCUUGGCUCCUAAAAUGACCUCAUGCCCUUAUCUCUGGUUUCCCUCCCCCGCAAGGGCACAGUGGUCCAGGAAAGUUGAAACCUGUGUCUGCAGGACUGGGCCCAUAAAAGCAGUCUGGCCUGUGAUAGGUUAAAAGUAGCUCACUCCUCCUAAAUAAGCAAUAGCCCAGCCCAAAACUGAUAAAAGGACCUUCCUUUCUUUGUUCUCUGUCUCCUUCUGCUUCUUCUUCCUCCUCUCUCUCUCUCUCUGCCUUCCUGCCUCCUGCUCGCCUCCCUACAAUAAAGAUCUCCUGCCGGGCCCCUCGGUCCACAGUUUACUCCUCCGCCAACUUCCUUACAAUGGGCUGAAGAAAGAGAAGCGGAAACAAUCCUGGGAGUACAGCUACAGUUUGACAAGACGCCAAAAACCACACCAGAACAGGCAGCCGGAUGCAGGUGCUGUCUCCCCCUGACAAGAGCCGCGCUCUCUCAGAGCAGACAGAACACAGAACGCCGGGUGGGAUGUUCCCAGCGCAGAGAUAACAGCUACAGAGUACAGCAUCUUUUCGCUGCCAAUAUACCCAAAAAUAUCAACACAUCUGCUUUGAUAAGCUGCGUGGACCCCGACCACAAACAUUGGCUCUGCCCUGUACACCACAGACACGCCAGACUCUGCCCUAUGAAGUUCCCUGCCUUUUGUUUGGAGCCGACAGGCUCUGCCCAGGUGAAUAAAGUCUGUGCCUGUCUUCACUAGCCUGCUUGGGUGGCCUCCUUACUCCAUAGUUGUUAGACUGGGAUUACAGGCGUGCACCCCCUUGCUCAGUUUUUUUUUUUUGGUUUUUUGUUUUUGUUUUGUUUUUCUUGGUCGUGAUGGGGAAGGUUAAUUAAAUCUAGGGCCAAUGAACUUGACAUUGCCAGUUUUUAGAUAGAAAUUCCCUAAAUGAUUAGCCUGCCUAUAUGUUGAGCUGAGCAGGGAUCUGACUAAAGUUCAAGUUAAUAAAGGAGAAUGCAAAAGGGGUAAUAAAUUCUGUGGUAGAGUACUUGCUUUGUCUGCAUGAGGCCCUGAGUUCAAAAGAUCAAGCUCUGUUCUUUUUAAAUUACCCGGUAGGCCCAAGUAGAGUCACCAAAUUCACUUUUUUAAGCCCUUGACUGCCUCAGAAGAAAACAAAAAUCAAGCUUCCAAUAAGUAACAGGUCAAAGACCUAGGAUUGGUGGUCCCUGACUGCUUCUCCCAAAAGAAAAAUUGAAUUUAUGUAGUCACGCUACACAUUGUGGAUAAAAAGAAACAUGUAAGUCAGGCCUGGUACCAGAUGCCUAUAAAUCGUAGCACUUGGGAAGCUGAGGCAGGAGGAUCACUGCAAGUUUAAAAUCAGCCUGGGCUAUGUAGUGAGUUUAAGUCCAACCUGAACUACACGAUGAGAUCUUGUUGCAAAAAAAAAGAAAAGGUAAGAAAUCUCUGACUUACUUUAGUUUUAUAACAACAAAAAUACCAAUAAUAACACUUUGAAGUUUUUUGUUUCUGUUUUGGUAUCAGGAAUCCAACUCUGACCCUUGCACCCCUGAGGCAGGCAGUGGAACUACUGAGUGAAAUCCCAGCAGCACUUGGAAGUUUUUAUGUCAUCGUUUAAAAGCUUUCAAAGAUUGCUGCCUAGGUAGUUUCAAGAUAAAAGGGGCAGGAUAAAAAAGAAUAUGUGUUGUGUACAUGUACCAACUCCCAGGAUGAACGGGAUAAAUGUGAUCGUUGUGUACUGAAAACAUACACUAAUAAAGUAAAAAAUAAAUUUAAAAAAUUUGAAGCCAAAGCUAUCACUAAAUCCAGGCUCAUCCACGGAAAGACCAAUGUCUGAGAGAUAAGUGUUGGGAGAAAGACAGCUUUCUUCACAGCCAAAGAAUGGAGGAGGAGCUUCCUCAGAUGUUGCAGACCAAGACCUAUGUGCGCCUCCACCCUCCGUGUGUGCGCCUCCACCUUCUCGGUGCGUGAGUGGCCUAAUUGGGAAGGGGCACCCGAAAGGGCACGCGAACCCCCUUUCACUUUUGUCCCUCAGUUUAACGACUGACUUCUCAUAGAGCCUAUGGGACUUUGGUCCCGCAGGUCCACAGUUUACUCCUCCGCCAACUUCCUUACAAUGGGCUGAAGAAAGAGAAGCGGAAACAAUCCUGGGAGUACAGGUGAGGAUAAUCCUGAGUACCUGAUUGUGUCCUGAGGUUGUAGACGUCUUAAAAUGCAAUUUUUUGUCGCAUGUCCAUAAUCCCAGUACUCAGGAGACUGAAAUCGGGAGGAUUGCUGCAAGUUUGAGGCCACCUCAGGCUACACGGUGAGUUCAGGUCAGCCUGAACCACACAGGAUGACCCUGUCUCAAAAACAAACAAAAAUAAAUAAACGAAAUAAGGUACGGUUUUUCCUCUCUCCCUCGCUUCAUCUCUUGGUCCCCUUCUCAUCUGCAAAGAAGCUAUCACCCUGUUUCCUAUGAUCUUUUAUUUUGCUCUUUAAUCUAUUUAUACGUGGGUAUUUUCUUUUAGAGAAACUAUGAAAUAUUUAAUUUUUGUGUAUCUGAUUUAUUUCACUUAACAUUAUGUUCUCAAGGUAUAUCCACUUCCUACAAAUGAUUCAAAUGUAUGCUUCUUUGUGGCAGAUUAGUAAUCCAUAGUGUAUGUAAGAAGUAAAAAUAUUUUUAAUUGAUCCAUAUUUCAUUAACCACUCUAAUAAGCUCCUGUUUUUUGUGGUCCUGGGGAUCGAACUCAGGACCUUGCGCUUGCGAGGCAGGUGGUGACACCACAGAGCUAAAUCCUCGGCCCUCUAUUAAAUUCGUAAUCUAAAGUGGGUGUGGUGGCCCAUACCUAGGAUCCCAGAAUUUGGGAGCCUGAGGCAGGAGGAUCACCAUGAGUUUGAGGCAAGCCUGGGCUACACAGUAAACUCAAGGCCAGCCUAAACUACACAGUGAGGUCCUGUCUAAAAAAAAAAAAAGAGUAAUAAGCCCUAAAUCUUAGCCUUAGCUCAGUCAACUAGCAGACAAGGACACACACAGAGGCUGUACAAAGACUCACCAGAGAUAAGGUUCUGGGGUAAGAUGUAAUUGCUAAACAAGUCUGGGAAUCCUGGGAAGCCAAAAGGCUAAAAAUAACCACAAAGAGAAAGACAGGGGAGCAGGGGUAAGAAGGGAAAGGGGGAGGCCAAUGGGUGUGGGAUGAAGUUGACCGCUCCGGACAGACUGUGCACCCCAGAUCCCAGCCCGUGGAGGUCAGGAGGGACUCCUGCG